UGCAGUCGAGCGGAUGAGAGGAGCUUGCUCUCUCGAUUCAGCGGCGGACGGGUGAGUAAUGCCUAGGAAUCUGCCUAGUAGUGGGGGACAACGUUUCGAAAGGAACGCUAAUACCGCAUACGUCCUACGGGAGAAAGUGGGGGAUCUUCGGACCUCACGCUAUUAGAUGAGCCUAGGUCGGAUUAGCUAGUUGGUAGGGUAAAGGCCUACCAAGGCGACGAUCCGUAACUGGUCUGAGAGGAUGAUCAGUCACACUGGAACUGAGACACGGUCCAGACUCCUACGGGAGGCAGCAGUGGGGAAUAUUGGACAAUGGGCGAAAGCCUGAUCCAGCCAUGCCGCGUGUGUGAAGAAGGCCCUCGGGUCGUAAAGCACUUUAAGUUGGGAGGAAGGGCUUACAGCGAAUACCUGUGAGUUUUGACGUUACCGACAGAAUAAGCACCGGCUAACUUCGUGCCAGCAGCCGCGGUAAUACGAAGGGUGCAAGCGUUAAUCGGAAUUACUGGGCGUAAAGCGCGCGUAGGUGGCUUGAUAAGUUGGAUGUGAAAUCCCCGGGCUCAACCUGGGAACUGCAUCCAAAACUGUCUGGCUAGAGUGCGGUAGAGGGUAGUGGAAUUUCCAGUGUAGCGGUGAAAUGCGUAGAUAUUGGAAGGAACACCAGUGGCGAAGGCGACUACCUGGACUGACACUGACACUGAGGUGCGA
rnacentral:rRNA from 1 species